UACGGGGGGGGCAAGCGUUGUUCGGAAUUACUGGGCGUAAAGGGCCAGUAGGCGGCCAACUAAGUCCGACGUGAAAUCCCAAGGCUUAACCUUGGAACUGCGUCGGAUACUGGAUGGCUUGAAUUCGGGAGAGGGAUGCAGAAUUCCAGGUGUAGCGGUGAAAUGCGUAGAUAUCUGGAGGAAUACCGGUGGCGAAGGCGGCUCACUGGCCCGGUACUGACGCUGAGGUGCGAAAGCGUGGGGAGCAAACAGG
rnacentral:rRNA from 1 species